rnacentral:lncRNA from 1 species
AUGGGAAUUCAUGUUUUUGUUCUUUCUGAACAGGAGUACCUUACUAGGCUCACCAAUACACUGACUUGGAUUGGUUUACAUGAUGAAGAAGAAGAGGGAAGAUGGAAAUGGGUAGAUGGAACUCCUCUUAAUCUGAUGUACUGGGCAGAUCGCCAACCUGAUAAUGGCGGUGGAGACCCAAAGUGGGGUGAAGAGGACUGUGCUCAUAUCAGGACAUUUGAAAACACUUUGUGGAAUGAUCUUUCAUGCACGAAUUCUCUGCCGUGGGUCUGUGAAAAAAUACCAUAAUACCCACUUUUUUUGAAGAUUCGAUACAUAUUGUAAGCUUAGCUAUGGUUAAUGUUUUAUUAUCCUUUAUUAUUUUAUUUUCGUUUUAUUCCUCUCUGAAUAUCUAUUUAGCUAAAGCAUUGCAGUGCGAGUUGUAGCUAUAGCUAUAUACUGUUCACUUUUAUAAAUAGAUUUACUUCCUGUUGUAAAAAAAGAAAACAUAAUUUAGCACAUGAACUGAGGUCCAACUGCUGACUGCCUUUUCUGAUAUAUCAGUUAAUUUUACAUUUUAAAAGAACCAGCGGACAAAGCAGAACUACAGCUGAUUCUCUGGAUCACCACAUAUCAGUCAUAUGUUUAUGGAUAAUCAGAAGUUGUCACAAUAUGUUAUUAGUUAUACUGAUGUCAGGACAUUGCCCUCGGUCAGUGUACUACAGACGUGGCCAAAAGUUUUGAGAAUGACACAAAUGUUAGCAGCAAAAGUUUGCUGCUUCAUUGUUUUUAGAUCUCUGUGUCAGUUUUUUUCUGUGAUGCACUGAAGUAUAACUACAAGCACUUCAGGUUUCAAAGGCUUUUAUUGACAAUUACAUCACGUUUAUGCAAAGAAUAUUUGCAGUGUUGGCCCUUCUUUUUCACCUCUGCAAUUCGCCCUGGCAUGCUGUGAAUCAACUUCUGGCUGAUGGCAACCCAUUUCUUCAUAAUCAACCCAAUGAUGGCUGCACGUGUUUCUUUGCAGGUAACCAUGGUUAACAGGAAGAACAAUGACUUCAAGCAUCACCCUCCUUUGAACACAUCCAGUCUGCUAUAUUAUAACUCAAUCAGCAUGACAUAAUGAUCUCCAGCCUUGUGCUCGUCAACAUUCUCAACUGAGUUAACAAGAAGAUUAUUACUCAACAGGUCCUUUUAUGGCAGCAAUGAAAUGCAGUGGAAAUGGAUUUUGGGGAUUAAGUUCAUUUUCAUGGCAAAGAAGGACUUUUCAAUUCAUCUGAUCACUCUUCUAAACAUUCUGGAUUAUAAGCAAAUUGCUAUCAUAAAAACGAAAGCAGCAAAUUUUGUUUAAACCAAUAUUUGUGUCAUUCUCAAAACUUUUUGCUACAACUGUACCAUGUGAAUUACUGCAAUACAGGGAUAUUGCAUUUUUGUUUUGUGUUUUGUUGUUGCAAGCAGUAAAGCUGGGCUUAUUAUUCAUGAUAAAUAAACAAAUAAGCAUAAGUCUGUAAAUUAUAUCUUAUGUGCACUUUGGUUUAAUUAAUUAAGUUUGUUCUUUCCACUGUGAAAAGAGAAAUGGUGGGCCACCAGAAAAGUCUGGCAUAGGAUGUAUCAAAGUGUUCUUUGUGAUAGAGUAAAAAGAGUGUAUUUUGCAUAUACACUGCAGCUCCUCAUCAUGUGUGAUGUGAUAGCUCUAACUUUGGGUAAUAAGAAAGUUACUGCUGUAUAGCUAGUUUUCCCCAUGAUGUGUCUAACAGCAAACAGGCCAGUUUGGAUGAAUUCACUUAGGUGAAAAGUUAACAUAUGGGUCAUUAUGAUACAAAAAGGAAGUCAAGUGAUCUAACUGGACCUAUCAGUGGACCACAUGUACUGUUCAAAUGAACUCAUGAUUCCCCCCAUGUGGUAAUAAAUGUGCAGUAACAGGCAUCUCCAAGUUUUCUUUGCAGGAUUUAUUCAGUCAGUUGUUAAAUAUUUAUUGAAAGGUUUGUCAGCUAAUUACUUGAAUCACACAAUACACAAGGAAAUAUUCUGGAUUUUGACAAUAAAAUAUUAAUAAAGCUUCAGAUAAGUAAUUUGUCAGCAGAUGCAACUGGACCAUAGUACAAUCUGGCAAUCAAGGCCUUUUUCAUUGCACUCAUGUUGGCAUCUCUGCCCUUCUAUAUUUGCAUCUUUCUAUAAUAACUCAGGGCGGUGGCCCUUCAGGUAAUAGACCCAUGAGUAGGGCUUCUUGUGGCCCUCAGAGCUCUGACUGGAGAUGGUCAAGGUGCCAAACCACGGUCCUGGAGAGCCAUCUGGAGGAGCCUCAAAGGACACCUGGAUGUUCUGAAUCUCUUUGGAUUUGAUGCUUCCCCCUCCUUUGACUGUAAAAUGGUGGUUGUCAACCUAUAGGUUUAAACAAGGUUCAGGUUAUAUCAAAUGAAAAUAAGCUGUGCUAUUAAGUGAAGCACAUAUAUUAAACUGAAGCAUUUUAUCAAUGUUAAAAAGAAAAGAUGCUAAAGUGAAAGUUGUAUCAAAGAGAAGCAGUAGUCAAAUCUGUUGAAACAUAGACAGGGUUGCACAAUUCUGCAAUCUGUUCCAGGCUAAAUUUAAUAUGUUUCAUGGUAUCGCAGUGAACCCAGUGUAAAUACUUCUCAGUAAAACAUCCCUGUUUUUAAUAACAUUGACUGUUUUUGAUGUGUUUGAAUUAGUAUGUUGGAAAUCAUUAUAUGUUAUGUCGAUAAGACAUUUUUAGCUUUGCGCCACUGCUUUAUCUGGUUUUCUCACUGUGCCCAUUUUCACAAAUUCUACUUGGUCUUUACCAGUGAUGGGAAUAACGGCGUUACAAGUAACGGCGUUACUAACCGCGUUACUAUUUUCAGUAACGAGUAAUCUAACUAAUUACUAUUCCUAUUGUUACAACGCCGUUACAGUUACUAACAAGAAAUCGCAGUCCGUUACUAUUUUUCAACAAACCGACGGUUGAAGCUGUGUUCAGCUUACCGCAUCUUAUAUCAGUUGCACGGAAGUAGCUGUAAGUAAUGUGGGCGCUACAGCUUUAAGCAGCUGCGCGCUCCCGCGGACGGUAAUCACGAUCACUGUCUAGCACAACACCUGGAGCUCAGGGGGCAAAACAAUCGCAUGAGUGCUGCUGUUUGACUGAGGAAGAAUAAAGUAGUCGUGGUAAGUCAAUCACAUGACCACUUAAAGACAAAGCAACAAGGUGCCAGUUUUUAAAUUGUGUUGAUAGGCCACGUAAAACCAGAGUCAUGAUAAACAAUAUAUACGCGGCGUUUUUUCCUCAAUAGUUUCGUCACGUUUACUGACUAAAGACAGCGCUAGCGAGCACUCUCUGCUUAUGAGCAAAAAAAACAACAACAAAAAAACAGGGGAAGUUUUAGGAGUGACGGCGAGAGAGAGAGAGAGAGAGAGAGCAGAAAAAGAGAGAGAGCGAGUUUUGAGAUGUGAGAUUUGUGACGUUUAGCGUGUUUGGAGUGUGUAGUUAAUGUGUUGUCUUGUGUAGUUAGUGUGUAGUGUUGUGGAUAGUUUUGUGUUGUGUGUCAGAACAAUGAGGCGACUGCUGUCUCCAGGUAGAAACAGAGGUGAUACACCUGCUGCUGUCAGACCUGCAGGUAUCAGGCUGUGAUGUUCUCCUUUAUAGUGGACAGAAAUGAUUUUUUUUGGAGUGGCACAAAUAAUUUGUGUGGCAUCAUAUUGAAUGCAGAACAGCUGAUUGUUCUGUAAAUAGUUUGCAAUGGUUAUUUAAAAAAUCAAGGUAAAAGGAUGCAAAUAACUUUGUUGUUUGCAAAACUUGUGCACAGGAUUUUAAAAUUGACAAUUUAUAUUUGCAUUUAAAGUUAUGAAAUAUGAUUCAUUAAACAUGUUUGUGGUUGUGGUAAAAAAUAUAACUUUUUCUACUCUGAUUUUAUGUUUUUUGUCUGAUUUUAGAUCAAUUGUGUUAAUACAAUAUGACAAAAUGAAAACAUGACUGUAAAUUCAGACACGUGAGGUUGUGCUGAAAAUGAUGAUACCAAACAAGGCAAAGUAAAUAGAUUUUAAAGGUAAAAUGUGGAGGGAAAAUCAAAAGUAGUUAAAAAUGGCCAAUUAUACCCUGGACCCCAGAGGGUUAAAUGUUUUUUUAAAGUAACGCAAUAGCUACUUUUCAAGUAAUUACUUUUAGAAUAUUGUAACUCAGUUACUAACUCAGUUACUUUUUUGAAGAAGUAACUAGUAACUAUAAUUAAUUACUUUUUCAAAGUAACUUGCCCAACACUGGUCUUUACCAGAAAAGAGAAAGCUGUGGUUUGCAGGAACACAUUCUUGAAGGGGAUGAUGAUGUUCCCACCGGAUUUAAUGCUGAACGGGCCCUGAGACUGGGGGGGCAAGCACAACCCGUGUAAGGGAAAUAUGUAUUCUCCACCGACUCCUGAAGACAGGCUGAGCUGGCCUUUCACUUCUCCCAGCUGAGAAGGCUCAAAACAGACGUCCACGCUGGCCUGUGAGCCUGCGUGGAAACCCGGAGUUACACUGACACUCUUGUCCACGAUAAAGUCUGGGUAAUCAGUCUGGAGGAGAGAGAUAACACGAGAAAAUUCCAGUUUAAAACUGACAGAAAGAUGCAGACACUGAGUUGUGUGUUGACAAAUUAUAAA